GAGAUCAGGUGAAUUGGGCUGCUUUUGAAGGUUUGAGAACUGUGAUUUUCCCGUUCUGAUUUAAGAUGUAGACUGACAAAAUAAAGACUUCCUCCAAAUCACUGGUGUAGAGUUGCUGCCCUGGGAGCAAUGUUGUAGCAAUGGAGCAUUUCUUUUCCCACACAGCUGGAAUUGUUGCAGGAUGUCUUCACACCUACAGCACCUAUGUCAGAAAGACCUGGAGGUAUGACAGCUAAAUGUCCAAGACACCCAGCACCAUAGAUUCGUCUGACAAGGGCAU
rnacentral:lncRNA from 1 species